GAUGAACGCUGGCGGCGUGCCUAAUACAUGCAAGUCGAGCGAACAGAUGAGGAGCUUGCUCCUCUGACGUUAGCGGCGGACGGGUGAGUAACACGUGGAUAACCUACCUAUAAGACUGGGAUAACUUCGGGAAACCGGAGCUAAUACCGGAUAAUAUAUUGAACCGCAUGGUUCAAUAGUGAAAGACGGUUUUGCUGUCACUUAUAGAUGGAUCCGCGCCGCAUUAGCUAGUUGGUAAGGUAACGGCUUACCAAGGCAACGAUGCGUUGCCGACCUGAGAGGGUGAUCGGCCACACUGGAACUGAGACACGGUCCAGACUCCUACGGGAGGCAGCAGUAGGGAAUCUUCCGCAAUGGGCGAAAGCCUGACGGAGCAACGCCGCGUGAGUGAUGAAGGUCUUCGGAUCGUAAAACUCUGUUAUUAGGGAAGAACAAAUGUGUAAGUAACUAUGCACGUCUUGACGGUACCUAAUCAGAAAGCCACGGCUAACUACGUG
rnacentral:rRNA from 1 species